CGGCGGACGGGUGAGUAACGCGUGGGUAACCUACCCUGUACACACGGAUAACAUACCGAAAGGUAUGCUAAUACGGGAUAAUAUAUUUGAGAGGCAUCUCUUGAAUAUCGAAGGUGAGCCAGUACAGGAUGGACCCGCGUCUGAUUAGCUAGUUGGUAAGGUAACGGCUUACCAAGGCGACGAUCAGUAGCCGACCUGAGAGGGUGAUCGGCCACAUUGGAACUGAGACACGGUCCAA
rnacentral:rRNA from 1 species